CUCUUGCUUUCCAGUAACUCUCCUCCUGGGGAGAAGGCUUUUCACGGAGCAGGCUCACAGCCUACGGGGCUGGCCUCGGACUGGAUGGGGAGGGUGCUCAACUUGCUGGAGUCAUCUCUGCUAUGGCUUUAUUUGCCAACAACAGAGAACUUGCUCUGCAGCAGCCCCAGGCUCUCUGGGGACCCCACAGGCUGUGCAGAUCCCCCAUCCCAGAACCACAGAAGGAGACGGAGCAGAAGCACACCCUGUCUUCCAGGCCCAGGACAGCUGCUGAGCUCCAGGACACGGACUCUUGAAGGUUGAUUUUAACUACCUACUAAGCUCCACCUGAACCAGUUCCACUUCUUUAACCUUCUUGUGAUCCCUGUGAGGGGUCUGUGGUAUUGCUAUUUGCAAGUAAAGAAAGUGAGAUUGAGGGAGGCUGAAAGACUUGGCCCCAAGUCACAAUGCGCCGCUGAAUGUGGUGCUGCCUACUGGAUAUCCUGGGUGCUUCAACAUCAACAGCUCUUGGCAAGUGAGUACACCAUGAAGGAUGGACGAGGGACACGGGGGAGCAAGCCCAGCUGCACGGUUCCGGCUCUUUCCGCCACAUCACAGCUUCUGCAGUUGGGAAGCCAGAACAGUGAUCUUCAGUUUGUUCAUCAAAGGGCCAAGAAAUCUGUGUCCUCACCUUCUCUGCUUCAAUUCUGGUGCUGCUUAAGCCGAUUAUCAUUUCAUGCCCUAAACCAAAAAAUAAACUCUACAAACAUCAACAUUACAUAGGACAGGAUCUGGCCCACAGAUUGGGGGCAGGAGCUGCUUUUUCAAUGAGAAGAAUGAACAGACCUAGUAGGCAUUGCCUUUAUACCCAGGUAAGAGGAAUCCCAGCCUUGGGACAGCACUUUCAAGGGCUAAGCCCAUAGGCCAUCCUUCUAGAACAUUCUCUGGGUAGCUAGGGCUUCAUAAGUCACUUGCUGGGUUUGUCCUCCCUGAGUGGACUGUGUUGUUGGUGUGCACACCUGUAUUUCCAUGGAAUGGUAUUUUAGUCCUGCUGCUAUAACAGAAUACCUGAGACUGAAAAAUGUAUAAACAAUAGACAUUUAUUUCUUAUAGUUCUGGAGGCCAGGAAAUCCAAGAUCAAGGCACCAGCUGGUUUGGUGUCUGGCGAGGGCUGCUCUCUACUUCCAAAAUGGUGCCUUGGGGCUGGGCGCGGUGACUCAUACCUAUAAUCCCAGCACUUUGGGAGGCCGAGGCGGGCAGAUCACCUGAGGUCGGGAGCUUGAGACCAGCCUGGCCAACAUGGUGAAAACCCCAUCCCUACUAAAAAUACAAAAAAUUAGCCGGGCGUGGUGAUGCAUGCCUGUAAUUCCAGCUACUUGGGAGGCUGAGGCAAGACAAUUGCUUGAACCCAGGAGGCAGAAUUUGCAGUAAGCCGAGAUUGCACCACUGCACUCCAGUCUGAGUGACAGAGUGAGACUCUGUCUCAAAAGACAAACAAAAAACCAAAAUGGUGUCUCAUUGCUGGAUCUUCCAAAAGGGAUGAAUGUAUGUUCUCGAAUGACAGAAAAGACAGAAGGGCAGAAAGUGUCCAAACUCACUCCCUCAAUCCCUUUUAUAAGGUGCUAAUCACUCCCUAAACGCCCCAUCUCUUAUUACUGUUGCACUGGGGAUUCAGUUUCAGCAUGAGUUUUGGAGGGAUACAGACAGUCAAACCACAGCAUUGUGCACACUCCUUUUUCUAUGGAAUGGCCAAGGCGCAGCUAUUUGCAAGGGCUCUGACAGAGCUCCGCUGUGGAGCUGGGGUGUCCACAUGCCUGUAUGGAAGAGCUUUCAUGGCACCGGAGCCUGGUGGGAAGAGAAGCGGGCUGGGCUGUAGGCUGGGCACCAGGGACUAUCACCUUGUGCCACCACAUUUAGUGGGAGUUCCAGAGAGGCCACAAAUUCUUCAUUUGAACUGGACUCCCCAGCCUCGUGUUCCUCUGCAGGAUGUAAAAGGUAAUGCCAGCAGACGGUGGCAGUGCUGGAGGCGCCUGGUGGGCAGAGGUUACCUGGCUGGAGUGGCAAGCGUGAGGAGAUGCCUCCCAGCAUAAGGAAUGUGGGCUUCUGUUGGAUCUCUUGUUCCAGGCCCCACACAUGUUCGAGGCAGCCUGGGUAUGUCUUGGCCUGCUCAAUCCCUCAAAGCCCUGUUUAAUUCUCAUCUUGCUGUCACCUAUGUAGUGCCAAGAAACAAGUCACCAAAAUAAUGAAAUGCUGACCUAAGCUUAAAAACAAAACCAUGAGGUCUUUCUAAAUAAAUUAUGAAAAAGCGCAAACUGCAGCUCCCUGUAAUGAUUUCAAAGACUCCGUUCCAAGAAUGCAUUAAUUUAAAAAGGGAGUAUAAGGCAAAGGGGGGUGAUUAGAAGAGGAAGGCAGCUGACAUCAAACUGAAUAUACCAAGUUUCCUCCUCAAAAACAAGUGUGCAUUAUUUGUGGUGACCAUUCUUGGUAUUGUUCUAUUGCUGUAAAACACAGCAUAGCAUCAUUCUUUUAGAUGCCAUUCAUUUCAUAUAUGGGUAAAUGUACAUGGUUAGGCUAGACUGGAGUGCUUGUCUACACUGCUU
rnacentral:lncRNA from 1 species